UACGAAGGGGGCUAGCGUUGCUCGGAAUCACUGGGCGUAAAGCGCACGUAGGCGGAUUGCUAAGUCAGGGGUGAAAUCCUGGAGCUCAACUCCAGAACUGCCUUUGAUACUGGCGACCUUGAGUCCGGGAGAGGUGAGUGGAACUGCGAGUGUAGAGGUGAAAUUCGUAGAUAUUCGGAAGAACACCAGUGGCGAAGGCGGCUCACUGGCCCGAUACUGACGCUGAGGCACGAAAGCGUGGGGAGCAAACAGG
rnacentral:rRNA from 1 species